rnacentral:rRNA from 1 species
GACGAACGCUGGCGGCGUGCUUAACACAUGCAAGUCGAACGGAAAGGCCCUGCUUUUGUGGGGUGCUCGAGUGGCGAACGGGUGAGUAACACGUGAGUAACCUGCCCUUGACUUUGGGAUAACUUCAGGAAACUGGGGCUAAUACCGGAUAGGAGCUCCUGCUGCAUGGUGGGGGUUGGAAUGUUUCGGCGGUUGGGGAUGGACUCGCGGCUUAUCAGCUUGUUGGUGGGGUAGUGGCUUACCAAGGCUUUGACGGGUAGCCGGCCUGAGAGGGUGACCGGCCACAUUGGGACUGAGAUACGGCCCAGACUCCUACGGGAGGCAGAAGUGGGGAAUAUUGCACAAUGGGCGGAAGCCUGAUGCAGCAACGCCGCGUGCGGGAUGACGGCCUUCGGGUUGUAAACCGCUUUCGCCUGUGACGAAGCGUGAGUGACGGUAAUGGGUAAAGAAGCACCGGCUAACUACGUG